AUUGAACGCUGGCGGCAGGCCUAACACAUGCAAGUCGAGCGGGGUUUUCGGACCUAGCGGCGGACGGGUGAGUAAUGCGUAGGAAGCUACCCGAUAGAGGGGGAUACCAGUUGGAAACGAUUGUUAAUACCGCAUAAUGUCUACGGACCAAAGUGUGGGACCUUCGGGCCACAUGCUAUCGGAUGCGCCUACGUGGGAUUAGCUAGUUGGUGGGGUAAUGGCUCACCAAGGCGACGAUCCCUAGCUGGUUUGAGAGGAUGAUCAGCCACACUGGAACUGAGACACGGUCCAGACUCCUACGGGAGGCAGCAGUGGGGAAUAUUGGACAAUGGGCGAAAGCCUGAUCCAGCCAUGCCGCGUGUGUGAAGAAGGCCUUCGGGUUGUAAAGCACUUUCAGUAGGGAGGAAGAGUUGAGUGUUAAUAGUACUCAGCUUUGACGUUACCUACAGAAGAAGCACCGGCUAACUCUGUGCCAGCAGCCGCCGUAAAAC
rnacentral:rRNA from 1 species